AUGCAGUUUCUUCAAAGAAAGAUGAAGAGACAUAAAAAAAACCAGAUCCAUGAAACCGGUUCAACCGGUAUAGAUAUGAACACGAAGAGCCAAGAUGAUAACAGCAUAGAGACCAAAGAAAAUAAGCGUAUGAAUGAAUAUAGCUUUUCCGUUUGUCUUCAUUCCACCGAAUUCAAGCUGUUUUCCGUUUCCCGGAAACGAAAACAACAACCCAGGUUGAAGAAACACGAACAACACCACUCCGAUAACAACUGGUGCCCAGUCAGACAUCUUGUAAAAAAUAAAGUUGGUGAAAAAAGUGGUAAAGGUUGA